CUUCAUCAAGGCCAAAAAAAACUAAGAGGUAGGUGAAUGUGCAAAGCAUUUGGGUCUUUUCAUAAAUGAGCAGUGUGUUUACCCACAACUUUGAUAUCUGCUUUUUAAGGCUUUUGAGGGAGGGGCAGUGCCGCAGUGAAAUUGGAAAAAAAAAAAUUCUGUCCGAUUACCCUUCUGGAUUUGUGGCAUCUCUUCAGUAAUUUCUCUCCCUCAUUAAGUGUUGUUCGUAAUUGCCCUAUUCCUUCAAUUGUUGAACAAGUAUUAUUCUUUGAUUCGUUGUUUCCUCUUGGCUCACUGUUACAUAUUUGAAUAAUUAUAACGACAAGUAGAUAAAAAUGGGAUUAGAAGUUCACUUUAAAAUGGCUAUACGCUACACCUGAAGUGAUAGUACUAGGUGAAUUUAUUGAAGCUCUGAUAAAUAAUAGUACUAAGUUCUCUCACGUGAUUCUUGUGGUGGUGUCAAAUUUUCUGGAGAUUUGACUAAUCAGCUUACGUACACUAUGUUUCGACUAACUCUUUUGUUAUAUAAGUCUGAAAAUGGAGAUUAGGUUAGGGGAGAAACCACACUAAUUCAAAAAUGGGCUAAUUAGACAGAGUCCAUCAUGUGUUUGAUUAUAUAAUCGAAACAAAAAUCCUUAUAGAAAAUGAUUAAAGCAGAAGAGUUUCAUAUUCCUGUGAUUGUCAUUAACCUUACUGAGUUCAGCUAGCAUUAUUAAGUAGAUAUUGUUUUUAACUCAUUCAGAUUAAUGGACUCAUUCACAGCAACUCAACGGAUUCUUUCUUUCUUUCUUUUGGAAUAGGGGUGGACUAAUUAUUUUUAUUUGUGUGUAGUUGCGUAUUCACUUUGCCAGUAUGAGCAGGAAACAAAGGUUCUGAAACCUUCAAUGAGGAAUCUAUUUCAUUAUCCGGUUCUGUAGCUAUUGGUUUUUAUAGAGAUUUUCAGCAAAUUCUUUUUUUUUCAUCGACUUCGUGUCUUUUCCUUUAGCAUCAAUAUAAAGUUCAAUACGAAUCAAGGGGACUCAAUAUGUUUGUGUUCAAAAUGAUGGUAUUUAUAAGCAUAUGUUUUGGUAUUGAUAUUAUAGUUUUUUCUGUUAGACGUUUAUGGAGUCUUAGUUGUUUUGCCGAGCAACAAGUACUAAAUACUAAAUUCAGGCUAUUUCGAGUUGCAAGGAUACUGUCAAACAUGUGAAGAUAGACUAUUGUCUUCUGAUUAAUAUGAGCGAAGAAUUAUUUGCCAGGCAACUGCCAAACAUGCGAGGAUAUAUUGUUGUCUUCUGAUGUACAGGUAUGCACCUUGAAUAUUCUUCUAAUGUACAAGCUUUAGUGAUGUUGCCAUGGUUAAGAGCUGAUAUUACCGAUCAUGAUAUAUAUCAAAGCUCAUAGUAAUAAAGAUAAAUGCAUGCGUGUAAUUGUAUACUACUAUUUAAUAUAAAAUUGCUCCACCACGCAAACAAGAGUACUUAAGAAAUUGUUAUGGUCUUUGUUUAAGUUUUAAAAAGAUGAUUAUUUUUACGGUUACAACUCAUGUAGUAUCAUUAAAAUUGUCAAGGCUGAUUAUUUUUUCAGCAACAACUCAUUUGGUACUUAGAGAUGUUCAUAGUCCAGUUACACAUUCAACCAUAUAAUUGUGCAAAAGAAGUUGAGCUAUAAGGGUGUACAAAAAUGUGUGCUUCAAAGUACAAGGCCUACAGGCAAUAGAAAAUGCAUUGAGAAACUUCCCAUUAAUUUUGUAAUGGAGCCAGAAACAUAAUGCUAAAAAAGGAGAUAACAAGAAAUUCACAUUGGUUUUAAUAUGUUCACAUGUUUUACUCUCUUUUUUUAUAUAUGGUUUGAUAAUUAGCCAUUCACAUCUUAAAGUUCUAGCGUAAACCUUUUCAAUGAUGGCUAGAGUAGGAAUGUCUAAGACUCGAAACCUUUGGUAAUUUCAUUAGAAAACUUUGAGAUUAAUGAACUUUUGUACAGUUUUGUGUGAAUCUAUUUUGAUAAAUACGGAUUAGUGGAUUCAUCUAUUAUUUAGAGAUUAUACUUGGCAAUUGUGAGGAAGAUGAAAGUGUUUAUCUACCUACUGUCUUUUAUUCUUAAUUUGUUGCAUUAGUAGUGGAAUUUUUUUGUUGGUCUUCUGGUCCUUUAUAUUAACAAUGGAGGUAUUAACUGCUUUAGGUUAGUAAGAUCAAGGGCAUAGAUUCCUUAUUUUAUCGUCUUCUUGAUCUAAGCAUUAUUAGAUGGUAUAGAUGAGUAGGGCCUUUAAAGGGAAAGUUGAACUACAACCAAUUUAAGUUCAUACUUUGUUGUCUUCACAUUAUGUCCUCUCAGCUAUAUGUAGAAGCUACGGGUUCAACUGAACCCAUAGUUUUUGCUCAUAUUUUUGCUCAUACCAUGUAUUUUCGCCCAACAAAUUAUUAAAUAUGUAUGAAUAAUAAAUUUUGAACCUAUUAAAUUAGAUGAGAUGUGGUAGAAUUGUGAAUCUGAACCCAUAAAGUUUAAAUCCUAAAUCUAAAUCUACCGUAGAGCAUCAUUUGUUUUAUGGAGUUGUUGAAUUGCUAAACUUCAAAGUUAUAGGUAUAUAUUUGCAUGUGUCACUUGAACUAACUAAAAAGUUCUUAUACCGAGCCGAUAAUCUCAUUCACUUUGUACAUUUUCAAUGAUUUUAAAAAAGUAAACCUUGGAUACUAAACAAGAGCGUAAGCUAUGUCUCAAAGCUUGAUUUAUAUGUAUUGUAAUGGUUAUUUUUAAUUUAUUUAUCAGAAAGUAGUAGCACGUUUUAAACUUGAAGUUGGAGGCUGAUUUAAAAGAGAAAGCAUCUU
rnacentral:lncRNA from 1 species